UNCAAAGAUGCCUUCAAAUCCCACCCUGCA
rnacentral:piRNA from 1 species